GACGAACGCUGGCGGCGUGCUUAACACAUGCAAGUCGAACGGUGAAGCGAGUGCUUGCACUCGUGGAUCAGUGGCGAACGGGUGAGUAACACGUGAGUAACCUGCCCAUCACUCUGGGAUAAGCACUGGAAACGGUGUCUAAUACUGGAUACGACCACCCCUUGCAUGGGGUGUUGGUGGAAAGAUUUAUCGGUGAUGGAUGGACUCGCGGCCUAUCAGCUUGUUGGCGGGGUAAUGGCCCACCAAGGCGACGACGGGUAGCCGGCCUGAGAGGGUGACCGGCCACACUGGGACUGAGACACGGCCCAGACUCCUACGGGAGGCAGCAGUGGGGAAUAUUGCACAAUGGGCGAAAGCCUGAUGCAGCGACGCCGCGUGAGGGAUGACGGCCUUCGGGUUGUAAACCGCUUUCAGCAGGGAAGAAGCGAAAGUGACGGUACCUGCAGAAGAAGCACCGGCUAACUACGUG
rnacentral:rRNA from 1 species